rnacentral:rRNA from 1 species
CGUGAGAACUGGGACAUCUUUGCAUGGAAACCUUCUAACAUGCUAGGUGUACCGAGGGAACUCGCUGAGCACACUCUUAAUAUAGAUCCCAAGUUUAAACCGGUCAAGCAGUUUCUCCGCCGCUUCAAUGAAGAAAGGCGCAAGGCUAUUCGAGAGGAAGUAGCCCGGCUCUUGGCAGCAGGGUUUAUUGUGGAGGUCUUUCACCCUGAGUGGCUAGCUAAUUCGGUGCUGGUACUUAAGAAGAAUGACACUUGGCGUAUGUGUGUGGACUACACAGAUCUGAACAAGGCAUGUCCA